AAUAAGGUAUGAAACUGCCCUCUCUGACACACACAGACACACUCUUUCUCUCUUCGCUCACCCCUCCCGAGAACCAUACUUCAGAAUCUCCGAAUUCUUCCAUCUUCUCACAACUUCUCAACUCUCCGUCGAAUUUUGGUAUCUUUUAUUUUCCUUCAACUUUAAAAUCACUCAACAUGCAAUUUCUGACUCUCUAACGCAGAUUGGACUGGUUGGUUGUUUUCAUUUGUGGUAACAAUGGCAAUUAAGAUUGGGUCUUCAUUUUCUUGUGUUUCCACCUCUCUUUAUUCUCCUUCCCAAUCCAGAAGAAGUUCACAGAUGAGCUUGUCACGAGGAUUGUUUGACAGCCUGAAAUUUGAUGCAGAGCAGCUGAGAAAUGCUAAAGUAGCAAUGUCAUGCCAGUUGAUUAAUACAACGAUGAAAGUAAAGAAAAGGUUCCCAGAGAGGCGUUUAAUUCUCUUUGCUACAUCUGAAGAUCAGUUACCAUACAGUGAGAUCAAACUAGAUGCUUCAGAGCAGGAGAAGCACCAUUCUGCCACUGAAGAUCUCUCUCCCACAAACAGUUUAAAUUUCCAUAGUGAAGGAUCUGGAGGUAAACCAGGUUUAAUAUCAUUUUAUAAUCGUCCUUAUAAAAGUGAAGGUGAAAGUAGUACAUUGAGAGUCGGAAGGAGCCAAAACAGUAUGCUGUGGUUUGUUGGUCCAGCGGUCCUUGUAGCCUCUUUCAUUUUUCCUUCCCUUUAUUUGCGGAAGAUGCUCUCUGCUAUAUUUGAGGACUCUCUAUUAACAGAUUUCCUCAUUUUGUUCUUCACAGAGGCUCUUUUUUACUGUGGGGUUGCGGUGUUUCUUCUGCUUGUAGACCAUUUAUGGAGGCCCAUUGAGCUAGUUUCAGCUGGAAACAAAAGCCCAGUCCCUCAGUUGGGGCAACGUAUCUCUUCUGUUGCUGUCUUGGUACUUAGUCUUAUAAUUCCUAUGGUGACAAUGGGUUUGGUUUGGCCGUGGACUGGCCCUGCUGCUUCUGCUACUCUUGCCCCAUACCUUGUAGGUAUUGUUGUGCAGUUCGCGUUUGAGCAAUACGCAAGAUAUAGGAAGUCAUCUUCAUGGCCUGUCAUUCCCAUUAUCUUUCAAGUUUAUAGAUUGCACCAAUUGAAUAGAGCAGCACAACUGGUGACGGCCCUCUCCUUCACUGUAAGAGGAGCUGAGAUGACAUCGCACAAUGUGGCAAUAAACAGUUCAUUGGGUACAUUGUUGAACGUCCUUCAAUUCCUAGGAGUGAUUUCUAUCUGGUCCCUCUCGAGCUUCCUCAUGAGGUUGUUCCCUUCUGCCACCAUGGCUGAGCAGUGAGGCGUGAUCUUCACAAAAAAGGAGAAUGGUUCCCUAUGAACCUUUGGGAUAUAUGGCCCUUUAGAUGACUCUCAACAGGGUGUGUUGUGGAUGGAACUUGGGUAUGAUCAUAGGAAGUGGAAUUUCUCGGACUAUGUUCGGCUGCAUGGAAUUGGAUUUGGUGGAAUUGGAGAAAAAAAAAAAGUUCAAAAUUACAGAAAAUUGGACUUAGGUAAUGUUCGGUUUCAUGAAAUUGGAAUCUUGAAAUUAGAGUUGGUGGAAUUGAAAAAAAUUCUAGUUCAAUUUUUUUGUAACUUUGAACCAAACUUUUCUCUAAUUUCACUGAUUCCACUUCCGUACAACCGAACAUAGCUUAAAAUUUUCUCUAAUUUCAAUUCCAAAACUCCAAUUUUAUGUAUAUGGUGGUCAUGGCAAGGAAAUGACGAAUGAGAAUCCUCCGCAAGCUUGAAAGUUGUUAGAAGAUUUUUUUUUUUUGCUAUUUUGUAUUUGGUCAUUUCAUGUAUAAUUGUAGUUUUUGGAAUGUAAAUAAGUUUGAAUACAUGGCCAUUGGACAAUGUUAUUAAGUGUUACUCACUCAAAAUCAGUUCGUGUAUUUUAAGUAACAUGUGGCAAAUGACGUUAACAACGUGGUUGUUAUUAUUACAAUUUAGUGUUGAAAUAUAUUUAAUUUUGUAUC